CUAAGUAAAGGAUAAUCCGUUUAAAUGUUAAUUAAAUACUAGGGAUAUUAUAUAUGACCCUACUUAGA
rnacentral:tRNA from 1 species